GAGGUCAUACCUUCGUAAAGCU
rnacentral:siRNA from 1 species